GGUCGUAUGUAACCCCACAAAUCAAAAUUGGGUUACACUUGGAAGGGUAGCCAGAUUUUGAGCCGAAGGGAUACAUUUGUCAAACCUCGGGUUUGUAUGGAAUUUACUACCUACAGAUUAUAAAAAGGAAUGAAUCACCUCGUGAAGCUUCUUUUCUGUCCUAGACCAGUUAGAAAAAGUGCGCGUUGCUUUAAAACAAAAUUAUAAAAUAAAAAUUGGCUGUUAAAAUCAAGUGAUAAGACAAACGGAGAUAAAAUCAAUAAUUUACGUGCUAUUAGUACGCUAAUUCGUGAGCUUUGAUGAGAAAAAAAAAAAACAAGUGUAAAAUAGUACAGAGAAUCAAAUAAGAAAAGGUCCAUAAUUGGGCCUUUUCUUUUUCUUCUUUUGGACGUCUGGAGUUCAUUCCGGAGAUCCGACUACGGCCAAUAGGUUUCCCGAGAGCAUAGGCAGGAUUGGGCCACAUUUAUAGGCAGGAUUGGGCAACCGUUAUCGAACUCGUCGGCCACAAGUGUUUCAUCGACGCCAUCUUGGAAACAGGAACAUACGACCACAGUCCGCCAUUUUGGAAUUCGGCAGUUCUCGCUUCUUCGUGGCCAACCCGCCUCGAAGGCACUCCGUCCGGACAACUCACCACAUCGUCCAGCCAACCUGUUCCCUCGUCUUUCAAGAAUUCGAUUCCGAGAACCGGUCGAAAGUGGACGGCCUGUCAGAUGUUCCGACCAAUCUGUGUCCAGAGCCAAUUACUCUUUCAAGCCUUAGCCGCUUCGUGUGCGAGCCGACCGUAAACCACCGCCAUCGAGCCCAAUCCAAACGGACAACCCGCUGCUAGGGUUAACCUACCGUGGCCAU